CUACAUUGCUAACCCUAAAGGAGAUUUACUUCAUCUACAGACUGAAAAUGAAGAAUACCAAUGUGAUCAUGUCUGUGGCAUUGUCUUUCAACUGUGCUAACUAAUACAACAUCUAAAGACACCUUCACAUGAUGGUACUUCAGACACAAUCCUCUAUUCGGAAAGUGAUGAAUGUGACACAUAAU